rnacentral:rRNA from 1 species
AAUAUUGCACAAUGGGCGCAAGCCUGAUGCAGCCAUGCCGCGUGUGUGAAGAAGGCCUUCGGGUUGUAAAGCACUUUCAGCGGGGAGGAAGGCGGUGAGAUUAAUAACCUCAUCGAUUGACGUUACCCGCAGAAGAAGCACCGGCUAACUCCGUGCCAGCAGCCGCGGUAAUACGGAGGGUGCAAGCGUUAAUCGGAAUUACUGGGCGUAA